UAAACAUGGACUUAACAAUUCUCACCUAGCAAGUGUUUCACUCAAUCACUCAAGUGUUUAAGGAGGUCACCCUACUCUCUACUAUUCACAUGUCACAUAAAACAAUAUUGUCAUUCAUCUCAAACAAUCAAAAUCUUCACAUGCAUAUGUCAUUACAAGGACUUUAUCCAAGGCUUGUAUUGUGGCUGGGCUAUCAAGAAAAAUGGUUUUUCUGGAAUACAAAAUCCUUGAGUUAAGAGAGUUUAAAUCAUCAUUCAUAGUUCAAGCACACUCUUUUUUUAACCAAUCUCACUCAUUCCCAACUUUUCCCUUUUUCAUUUUACAUUGAGUUCUUUUUACAUGCAUAAACUCUUUUCUUCUUUUCUUUUCUUUUCAGAUGCAUUUUUCAUUUUCAUCUUUUGAACUCAAUGCUUUUCUUUUUCUUUUGCCUUUCACUUUCCCCAUUCAACCCCAAACUUGAACCUUUUCAACUCACAUAAUUAUUCUCAACCCUAACUCAAGGUAAAUNAAUUCAAACAAGGGUUUUUAUACUGUUUAAGGUCAAGGUUCAAAAAGG
rnacentral:lncRNA from 1 species